rfam:Paenibacillaceae bacterium GAS479 genome assembly, chromosome: I
UCCAUCGCGAGGUGGAAUCUGAAGGAAGCCGGCGGCAAAUUUCCGGCCUGAGGAACACGAACUUCAUAUAAGGCUAGCGUACGCUGGAUGAGACUGCUAAACAAGUCAAAGCCCAUACUGCCGAAGGCGUACGAGAGUAAAUGGAGCAGGUAGAUAGAGAGGAAGAUAGCGUU